rnacentral:misc_RNA from 1 species
GAUGAAGAACGCAGCGAAAUGCGAUAGGUAAUGUGAAUUGCAGAAUUCAGUGAAUCAUCGAAUCUUUGAACGCACAUUGCGCCCGCCAGUAUUCUGGCGGGCAUGCCUGUUCGAGCGUCAUUUCAACCAUCAAGCCCCAGGCUUGUGUUGGGGACCUGCGGCUGCCGCAGGCCCUGAAAACCAGUGGCGGGCUCGCUGUCACACCGGGCGUAGUAGAUUUUAUCUCGCUCAGGGCGUGCUGCGGGUUCCGGCCGUUAAAAAGCCUUUUUUACCCAAGGUUGACCUCGGAUCAGGUAGGAAGACCCGCUGAACUUAAGCAUAUCAAAAGCGGAGGA